rnacentral:rRNA from 1 species
CGCGUAGGUGGUUUGAUAAGCGAGAUGUGAAAGCCCCGGGCUUAACCUGGGAACGGCAUUUCGAACUGUCUGACUAGAGUGUGGUAGAGGGUAGUGGAAUUUCCUGUGUAGCGGUGAAAUGCGUAGAUAUAGGAAGGAACACCAGUGGCGAAGGCGACUGCCUGGACCAACACUGACACUGAGGUGCGAAAGCGUGGGGAGCAAACA